GACAUCUGAAGAAUACCAAAGGUUUACCGCUAUAGGAUGGGGAUGCGUCUGAUUAGGUAGUAGGCGGGGUAACGGCCCACCUAGCCGACGAUCAGUAGGGGUUCUGAGAGGAAGGUCCCCCACAUUGGAACUGAGACACGGUCCAAACUCCUACGGGAGGCAGCAGUGAGGAAUAUUGGUCAAUGGACGGAAGUCUGAACCAGCCAAGUAGCGUGCAGGAUGACGGCCCUAUGGGUUGUAAACUGCUUUUAUAUAGGGAUAAAGUCGGGGACGUGUCCCCGUUUGUAGGUACUAUAUGAAUAAGGACCGGCUAAUUCCGUGCCAGCAGCCGCGGUAAUACGGAAGGUCCAGGCGUUAUCCGGAUUUAUUGGGUUUAAAGGGAGCGCAGGCUGAUGAUUAAGCGUGACGUGAAAUGUAGCCGCUCAACGGCUGAACUGCGUCGCGAACUGGUUAUCUUGAGUGAGUUCGAUGUUGGCGGAAUUCGUGGUGUAGCGGUGAAAUGCUUAGAUAUCACGAAGAACUCCGAUUGCGAAGGCAGCCAACAAGGCCUUUACUGACGCUAAAGCUCGAAGGUGCGGGUAUCGAACAGGAUUAGAUACCCUGGUAGUCCGCACGGUAAACGAUGGAUGCCCGCUGUUUGCGAUAUACUGUGAGCGGCCAAGAGAAAUCGUUAAGCAUCCCACCUGGGGAGUACGCCGGCAACGGUGAAACUCAAAGGAAUUGACGGGGGCCCGCACAAGCGGAGGAACAUGUGGUUUAAUUCGAUGAUACGCGAGGAACCUUACCCGGGCUUGAACUGCCAGCGAACGAUUCAGAGAUGAUGAGGCCCUUCGGGGCGCUGGUGGAGGUGCUGCAUGGUUGUCGUCAGCUCGUGCCGUGAGGUGUCGGCUUAAGUGCCAUAACGAGCGCAACCCUUUUCUUUAGUUGCCAUCAGGUAAUGCUGGGCACUCUGGAGAUACUGCCACCGUAAGGUGUGAGGAAGGUGGGGAUGACGUCAAAUCAGCACGGCCCUUACGUCCGGGGCUACACACGUGUUACAAUGGG
rnacentral:rRNA from 1 species